AAUAUUGGACAAUGGGGGGAACCCUGAUCCAGCGAUGCCGCGUGUGUGAAGAAGGCCUGCGGGUUGUAAAGCACUUUCAGUGGGAAAGAGAAGCGUCUUGUCAAUAAUGGGACGUGGAGACGUUACUCACAGAAGAAGCACCGGCUAACUCUGUGCCAGCAGCCGCGGUAAUACAGAGGGUGCGAGCGUUAAUCGGAGUAACUGGGCGUAAAGGGCACGUAGGCGGUUAUAUUAGUCUGAUGUGAAAGACCUGGGCUUAACCUGGGAUGUGCAUUGGAAACGGUAUAGCUAGAGUUUGGGAGAGGGAAGUGGAAUUUCCGGUGUAGCGGUGAAAUGCGUAGAGAUCGGAAAGAACACUCGUGGCGAAGGCGGCCUUCUGGCCCAAAACUGACGCUGAGGUGCGAAAGCGUGGGGAGCAAACAGG
rnacentral:rRNA from 1 species